rnacentral:sRNA from 19 species
GUCGGGGUACUGGCCGGUGAAGAUCGUCGGGCGACUCGGCACACA